AGGACGAACGCUGGCGGCGUGCUUAACACAUGCAAGUCGAGCGGACAUCUUCGGAUGUUAGCGGCGAACGGGUGAGUAACACGUGGGCAACCUGCCCCUAGCUCUGGGAUAACUCCGGGAAACCGGGGCUAAUACUGGAUAUGACCGAUCCAUGCAUGUGGGUUGGUGGAAAGUUUUUCGGCUAGGGAUGGGCCCGCGGCCUAUCAGCUUGUUGGUGGGGUGAUGGCCUACCAAGGCGACGACGGGU
rnacentral:rRNA from 1 species